AGCGAACGCUGGCGGCAGGCCUAACACAUGCAAGUCGAUCGAACCUUUCGGGGUUAGUGGCGGACGGGUGAGUAACACGUGGGAACGUGCCUUUAGGUUCGGAAUAACUCAGGGAAACUUGUGCUAAUACCGAAUGUGCCCUUCGGGGGAAAGAUUUAUCGCCUUUAGAGCGGCCCGCGUCUGAUUAGCUAGUUGGUUGAGGUAAUGGCUCACCAAGGCGACGAUCAGUAGCUGGUCUGAGAGGAUGAUCAGCCACAUUGGGACUGAGACACGGCCCAAACUCCUACGGGAGGCAGCAGUGGGGAAUCUUGCGCAAUGGGCGAAAGCCUGACGCAGCCAUGCCGCGUGAAUGAUGAAGGUCUUAGGAUUGUAAAAUUCUUUCACCGGGGACGAUAAUGACGGUACCCGGAGAAGAAGCCCCGGCUAACUUCGUG
rnacentral:rRNA from 1 species